CACCCCUCGCCCACCCUUUCCCCUGUACCGGAGGAGAGGUGCCUGGACGGACGUGGCCGUCUCGCUUUCCCUUUACCGGGAGAGCGGGUCGGCUGAAGUGCAGGGCCCGCGGCGCGACCCGGACGAGAGGGCGCCAGCAUGGUAGGUGGCUCAACGCUGCAUGCCGCUGUCGCCUUUCAUCUCGGCCCGAAUCAAGGUCGCAUCCAAUCGUCCGCUCGGCCACCAAGCAGGAACGGUCGCCCUCUUCGCAGCAAUGCGGCGGGUGACUUCAACC
rnacentral:misc_RNA from 1 species